rnacentral:lncRNA from 1 species
AAGCUGUACAACUAGAAGGCUUCCCUUUGCCUUUUGACUCCUCCAAAGCUUUUCCUCAGGCAGCUGGUGCACAAUGGAACAUUUUUCCACUCUACACUUUGUACGCAUGACUGCGGCCCUCCAUCCUUGGAGAAUGUCACUGUGGUAACCUGUGUGGAGUGUGGUUUUGUGAGCCAUUUCAUUGGUGGUAAAAUAGGCAUAGCAACUUUUUUCAUAUUAAAUUGUGCAUUUUGGAAGCAAGUAGCCAUAGAACAUACACACCCACACUUUCACUGGGGUGGGCUUCAUGUGAACAUCAGGCAAAGCCGUGAGAUCAAACCAUCCCAAAGACGUACAAUCGCCUUGCUUUUCAACCAAUCCUGACUCUUCUGAGACAUGAGCGAGUGUGACAAUGUCAAAACACUGUGCACAACGACCGAUUGUCCCUCCCUGGUACUGAUGGGACGGGGCCAGAAAGUGGGAGCCAAAGUGUUCUUUUCUGGUUUUUCUGUGUGCUGUAGGAUGAUCGAACGGGUUCGGGAGGUUUGUGGGCAGUCCCCUUCUCUGGUGGCCAAAUGGACUUUCCUUUCUCCUCAGUGGCAAGCACUACAUCCACACAUGCACUUGUGACCUUUCUUUAAUGUUGCCAACUUACGUUUGUGCAUUUGUGUCAGAAUGUUUAGUUUACAAACUCGGGGGCUCUAAUUGUAUAAUUUGCUUUGAGGAGAUCUACUAGGUUUUCUUGUUUGUUUAAAGCUGCAUCCAAUGUCAAAAUUACCUUGAGUAACUUCUGAUAAUUUACUGUCUGUGGACAAAGCUAAGUUUUUUUUCUUAAACAGCACCUUGCUUGAAGAUGACUUUAAAGAAAUUAAUAUAUUGAAAACUU